UUGAAUCCAAAGGAUGUUGCUGGUCUCUACAUGUGCACUCCGCCUUUCAAUUCACCUGUGAACUUACUGUAGGCCCUAGUGGUCUAUGUUUUUAAACACACCCAAUAGUCUAUAGAAUGUCUAAUAGUAGGCCUUAUGGUCGAAACUUAAUA
rnacentral:misc_RNA from 1 species